UACGAAGGGGGCAAGCGUUGUUCGGAAUUACUGGGCGUAAAGGGCGCGUAGGCGGCUUAUCAAGUCAGGCGUGAAAUUCCCGGGCUCAACCUGGGGGCUGCGCUUGAUACUGAUGAGCUUGAAUGCGGGAGAGGAUAGUGGAAUUCCCAGUGUAGAGGUGAAAUUCGUAGAUAUUGGGAAGAACACCGGUGGCGAAGGCGGCUAUCUGGCCCGUAAUUGACGCUGAGGCGCGAAAGCGUGG
rnacentral:rRNA from 1 species